UGGGGAAUUUUGGACAACGGGCGAAAGCCUGAUCCAGCAAUGCCGCGUGUGUGAAGAAGGCCUUCGGGUUGUAAAGCACUUUUGUCCGGAAAGAAAUCCUUGGCUCUAAUACAGUCGGGGGAUGACGGUACCGGAAGAAUAAGCACCGGCUAACUACGUGCCAGCAGCCGCGGUAAUACGUAGGGUGCAAGCGUUAAUCGGAAUUACUGGGCGUAAAGCGUGCGCAGGCGGUUUGCUAAGACCGAUGUGAAAUCCCCGGGCUCAACCUGGGAACUGCAUUGGUGACUGGCAGGCUAGAGUAUGGCAGAGGGGGGUAGAAUUCCACGUGUAGCAGUGAAAUGCGUAGGAGAUGUGGAGGAAUACCGAUGGCGAAGGCAGCCCCCUGGGCCAAUACUGACGCUCAUGCACGAAAAGCGUGGGGGAGCAAAACAGGAUUAGAUACCCUGGUAGUCCACGCCCUAAAACGAUGUCAACUAGUUGUUGGGGAUUCAUUUCCUUAGUAACGUAGCUAACGCGUGAAGUUGACCGCCUGGGGAGUACGGUCGCAAGAUUAAAAACUCAAAGGAAUUGACGGGGUCAUAGCUGUUUCCU
rnacentral:rRNA from 1 species